rfam:Gossypium raimondii scaffold_443_contig_1, whole genome shotgun sequence.
AACCCAUGGGGAGGGCACCUUCUCAAUAAAUCCUUAUAUCUCUCUCGUGCAUCAUAUAGGGUUUUUAAAUUGAUCUGCACAAAGAAAGAGAUAUCAUUCCUCAACUU